UACGGAGGGUGCAAACGUUGCUCGGAAUCAUUGGGCGUAAAGCGCACGUAGGCGGACUGUUAAGUCGGAUGUGAAAUCCCUCAGCUUAACUGAGGAAGUGCACUCGAAACUGGCAGUCUUGAGUAUGGAAGAGGGUCGCGGAAUUCCCGGUGUAGAGGUGAAAUUCGUAGAUAUCGGGAGGAACACCAGUGGCGAAGGCGGCGACCUGGGCCAAUACUGACGCUGAGGCGCGAAAGCUAGGGGAGCAAACAGG
rnacentral:rRNA from 1 species